rnacentral:rRNA from 1 species
AGGCUGAAACUACGCCUACAUGAAGCUGGAGUUGCUAGUAAUCGCGAAUCAGCAUGUCGCGGUGAAUACGUUCCCGGGCCUUGUACACACCGCCCGUCAAGCCAUGGAAGCCGGGGGUGCCUGAAGUGCGCUGCCGCAAGGAGCGCCCUAGGGUAAAACCGGUGACUGGGGCUAAGUCGUAACAAGGUAAC